AGGGGUUAUUUUAAAGGUCUCUUUAAUAUUGGCCAGUCCAAAUAUUCUCUUGUCAAAUAUUUCUGGGGCCUGUACUUGAAGAAAGAAAUGAUUUUCUCAAAUCUGUGAACAGGACACUUUUUUUAAUGUCAAAAUAAACCAUCUGCUUGUACAACUGUUUCUAAUUACUUCCCUGCCUAGACUCUCCACUGAGGGGUUUGGCACCAGCACCCCGCCCAGAGCAGUGCCGCUGCCCAAAUCCUCGCAGGCAGCUCAUCAACGCAAUUGCAACUCCGGCUGGAGUCCCGGACCUGCAAGCCUGGGUGUCCGUGGGUCCGUCUGCCCGGCCAUCUGCUGGUGGCACCUCUCCCUCCUGCCGCCUCCCUUGGUGAACCCCACCUUGCAGAAGUGCAGCUCGCCCAGAGCAGCCCAGGAGCUCAGCAUGCAUCCCCCAGGCUUCAGGAACUUCUUGCUGCUGGCGUCCUCCCUUCUCUUUGCUGGAUUGUCAGCUGUUCCUCAAAGCUUCUCGCCAUCUCUGAGGAGCUGGCCGGGCGCCGCCUGCAGGCUGUCCCGGGCCGAGUCGGAGCGCCGCUGCCGCGCACCUGGGCAGCCUCCGGGGGCCGCGCUGUGCCACGGCCGGGGCCGCUGCGACUGCGGCGUCUGCAUCUGCCAUGUGACUGAGCCGGGCAUGUUCUUCGGGCCCCUGUGUGAAUGCCACGAAUGGGUGUGCGAGACCUACGACGGGAGCACCUGUGCAGGCCAUGGUAAGUGUGACUGUGGCAAGUGCAAGUGUGACCAGGGAUGGUAUGGGGAUGCUUGCCAGUACCCAACUCACUGUGACUUGACAAAGAAGAAAAGUAACCAAAUGUGCAAGAAUUCACAAGACAUCAUCUGCUCUAAUGCAGGUACAUGUCACUGUGGCAGGUGUAAGUGUGAUAAUUCAGAUGGAAGUGGACUUGUGUAUGGUAAAUUUUGUGAGUGUGACGAUAGAGAAUGCAUAGAUGAUGAAACAGAAGAAAUAUGUGGAGGCCAUGGGAAGUGUUACUGUGGAAACUGCUACUGCAAGGCUGGUUGGCAUGGAGAUAAAUGUGAAUUCCAGUGCGAUAUCACCCCCUGGGAAAGCAAGCGAAGAUGCACAUCUCCAGAUGGCAAAAUCUGCAGUAACAGAGGGACUUGUGUAUGUGGUGAAUGUACCUGUCACGAUGUUGAUCCAACUGGGGACUGGGGAGAUAUUCAUGGGGACACCUGUGAGUGCGAUGAAAGGGACUGUAGAGCUGUCUAUGACCGAUAUUCUGAUGACUUCUGUUCAGGUCAUGGACAGUGUAAUUGUGGACGAUGUGACUGCAAAGCAGGCUGGUACGGGAAGAAGUGUGAGCACCCACAGUCCUGCACUCUGUCGCCUGAGGAGAGCAUCAGGAAGUGCCAGGGAAGCUCUGAUCUGCCUUGCUCUGGGAGGGGUAAAUGUGAAUGUGGCAAAUGCACCUGCUACCCUCCAGGAGAUCGCCGGGUGUAUGGCAAGACUUGUGAGUGUGAUGAUCGCCGCUGUGAAGACCUCGAUGGUGUGGUCUGUGGAGGCCACGGCACAUGUUCCUGUGGUCGCUGCAUUUGUGAGAGAGGAUGGUUUGGAAAGCUCUGCCAACAUCCACGGAAGUGUAACAUGACGGAAGAACAAAGCAAGAAUCUGUGUGAAUCAGCAGAUGGCAUAUUGUGCUCGGGGAAGGGUUCUUGUCAUUGUGGGAAGUGCAUUUGUUCUGCUGAAGAAUGGUAUAUUUCUGGGGAAUUCUGUGACUGUGAUGACAGAGACUGCGACAAACAUGAUGGUCUCAUUUGUACAGGGAAUGGAAUCUGUAGCUGUGGAAACUGUGAAUGCUGGGAUGGAUGGAAUGGAAAUGCAUGUGAAAUCUGGCUUGGCUCAGAAUAUCCUUAACAAUUACACGAGAGAGGAUAACUUACUGGAAACCUGAGGUCAUGCAAAGAAUUCAAGAAGAGAAAUACUGUGAUAAAAUGGCACCAAUCUCAGAAGCUCACAAAGGACCAAAAAAAAAAAUCUAGAAAUGGCUUAAAUAGAAAUUACAAAUAUUCACUCAGUGAUAGGAACAAAAUGUUUAUUUUCUUUAUGGUGAAACUUUGCUUUGUAUGAAAUUCACAUUGAAUUAUGAAAGUGUACAAUAAUUGGGACUUCCCUUACAUAUUUACAGGUAAAUCUACUUAUACACAUUAGUUUAGGCAACCUGUAAUUGUUUAGAGCUAAAAAAACCACUUUUUUUCUAAAGGUGAAUUAUUUUGUAAAAUCCUAGAAUAAUGUAGCAAAAUCAUUUCCGUAUUACUUUAAAAUGAAAAUUUUUACUUGGAAAUUUUAUUUUAAUAAUGUAAAUAUUCUAGAGUCAUGGCUUAAACUUUAUAAGUCAAAUUUCCAAAAAUAAGGAAAAUAUGCAUCCACUGAGUUACUUAAAAAUUUAAUAUUGAAAAUUAUUUUAAGAGAACAUUUAACUGAUGCUGAGUUUUAUAGUCCUAACAAUGUUCUCAUAAUGCAAUAGAUUUAUAAAAUUGUUAUCUCUAUCCUGAGAUUAAGGAGUGCAACCAUAUUGUAGUUCUCUUAUUAUGUAAAUUGAUAUAUCUUUUUUGUAAAAUGAGGGAAAUAUAAGUAGUCAAUAAAUAAUGUAGGUUAUAUUCUUUCCUCUUCACUACCUAAACAUUUUAAGCUGCAAACAACCUAUUAUUAUUGUUUUGUAGCAAUUUUGAUGACGUAUUUGCUGAUGCACAGACAUUGGAAUUCAUUAUAUUAUCUAGCUAUCGUAAUACAAAUGACCUUUGGAUUUCCCUACCACAGCGGUUAUCCUCCCAUCAAGGACCAGAAAGUUAAACUUUAUGGACCACAUACAUCCCUGUCUUAUAUUCUUUUUUGUUGGUUUCUGUUUAAUACUUUAAAGCUGUAAAAAAAUAAAAAUUCCUUCUGAGCUCCCAGGCCGUACAAAAACAAAUUAAGGGUGGAUUUGGCUAGCAGCUGGGCAGUACUUUGUCAGCCUCAGCGCCACUGGAAUUGUCCUUGAUUUUCUACGGCUCAUCAGAAAACCUCAGGAAGCUGCUGUGGGAUUAAUGUCAAUUGGAAGAGAUGCAACAAGUUUAGAGAAGGUGUUGGCACUAACCCUGCUUGUUUGGCAAAUCAUCACUGAGGUAUUCUACCCAAUUACUUUUUCAAAAAAGUCAACUAAAGUGCUAAGUCAUGAGAGGAGAGCCAUUAUACCCAUUGUCUUUCUGGGCUCCUUGAGUUUAUCUGGAUUCCAACAGCACUUUGGAAGUACUGCCCUCCAGUACUUCAAAUGCAAAUACAAUCUCUGCCAGUAGAUAUUGGAAUUAGACUUAGUGAAAACCAAGACAAAAAAAAAAAAAACUAAAAUAUAACUCAGGCUUAGUUUGCAGACUCAACUGUCAACACUUUGAAACCCUACUCCGUAUUCAAGAGAGUGAAAGGCCCUAUGUGCCACAUUGUAGGCUAAGAAACCUAAGCUAUGACUACUAUUUCCCUCAAAGUAAGACAAUGUACAUCCUGGAUUUUGAUAUGCCUGCAUUUUGGAAAAAAAAUAUUGAGGAUUUAGCCCAAUCGCUUUCCCUCGAUAUAGCCUUGUUCUGAACUAAAAUGGAAAAAAAAAUUUCAAUUAUUUUUUCAUCUUCGUCUCAACUGAAUGUUAGUCAAUGUGGUCUCUUCUUGAUUAUGUAUCAAAUGUUAAUGAUCUAUAUGAUAUUAGGGGGAUAAUUUUAAAUGAAGUGAUACAUGUCUAACUUAAAGAAUAAGAAGUUUUUGGUUUUUGCUUUUAAAGACAACCAAAUCUGAUAUUGUUUAUCCUGAUAAAAAUAACUUUUAGUGCUUAAAGCAUUAAGCAAGUGGCUAGGUAUGAUAAAGAAUCUCCGCUUGCUCCCCAAGAGGCAAACUAUUAGAAGAACUGGAGCAGGAGUCCUUUGGACCCAUUGUGUAUCUCUUUAAGCCACUCCUACCCAAAAACAUUCAGGACAAGCAAACAUUUAAGCAGGAAUCUCCAAAUUCUUCAGGAUUUGUAAUGAAAUAAUGCUCAGUUCCAUUUUGCUCUUUACAUAGGGUGGAGAAUUUGCAUGUCUUCUCUAAUUUUUCCAAGUAAAGUGGUAGCAAAAUGUUUUAAAAAGCAAUCUUAUAUUAGAAAACAAAAAUGUUGUCACUUGAAAUAUCAAAACAAUUGACAUUUCCGAGCAUUGUUGAGGGACUGGCAAAGCAAUCAGCGACUAUAACAAAUCAGUAGAAAUAACCCUCCCACACCAGAUAUGCAUGCAGAAGGAAUGGAGUAUUAUAGAGACUUGAUACAAUGGACAUAUGCACAUGGAGGUACAAAACACACGGUCUUUAAAUACAAAUGAAUUCCAUCAGAUUUACUAUACGGAACAUCAGUAGUGACAGAUUGCACUUACUUAAUAACAGCAAACUUAAUUUCUGAGGGGAAAAAAUGGUGAAGUCUUAUCCCAAACAAAUAGCAAGAGAGGUAUCAUCAAAGAGCUAAAAUUUUCUUUGGCAUGGUAAAGGGGGAAAUUGAGUUUACCAACUUAUUUACAUGACAUUUCUCUAUAUUGGUGGGUAAUGCAAUGCCAUUUUGUUACAUAAAGUUGUUUGAUGUUUUUGAAUAUGCCUUCAUAUAAAUAUUUUAUUCAAUAUGUUGUAUUUGUGAAUACAACAAAUGAUAUUAAACACAGAAACUGUACAAUGCAGACAAACUCUUUGUAUGCAAAUUAGCAAUACAUACCAACAGUUCUUGAUACACAGGUACCUACUACAUGCAGCUCAUCAGUGCUGUCCUCUUCCCAUGCAACAGGUGAGACCAGACACAAAGUAAAUGACCUAACUCAAUUACAAAUAACAAGGACCCCUCUGCAAUAUGUCUAAACAUAUAUUAAAAGAAAGUAUUUGACAUCCUUCAUAGGGAUAAAUGCCCUUAUAGACACCCCAUAUAUAAAACACAACAGAGAUACACAUUUACAUAAAUCUCAGUCAUUUACAAAAAUAAAUCUUAUCUAUCUUAAUUUAAACCAAUAAACAGACUUGCAGGGGACAAAGAAACCAGCAAGUAGGGCUGAUUAUCAGUCACAAAAACAGCUGGGGCUGUUUGUUGUGUGUGUGUGCGCGCGCGCGUGUGUGUAUGUGUGUGUGAUGUGUUGCUAUAAGUAGUGUCUAUAAGCCCAUUUGAUUGGAUUACAAGUUUAUUACUCAUAGUUGGCCACAUAUUAUGGGAUAUAUGUUUUCUGAAAAUAAUUGGUUAAUGGAAGUUAUUUUAACUGAUCCUGUUAAAAAACAAUAGGCUUCAAAAUGACAUAACACCAAAUCAAAAAUGACCAAAGGAAUCAUUUUGUUAUAUUUGUAAUUUAGCAUCAUUGACAAUAAAUCUACUCAAACAUUCUGCUAACUUUUUAUUUAUUCAAGUAGAAUCCAAUAUGAAAAUGAAAUAAGCAUAAACAGUUAAAUUUAUACUAAACCUUUAAUCAGCUAAGCAGGCCAGAAUUUUUUAAUGCUGGGCAAGGGCUGUCAUGAAGAUUUAUGAAAGCAGUGACAAAAUAAUUUCCCAAUAAAUACAGUGCAGAUGGGGAAAAUGAUGACUGGGUCAUCCUCCCACAUAGAAAGAAUAACAAGAGGCCAGUACAUUGAUCCCACAUAUAAUUUUCAAUAAAUGAGGUUCAGUUUGGUCUCAAUGAACUCUUCUGAGAAGAAAACAUUGAAUUUUAUUAGGUGUACACAGAGUUAACAAAUAUAUUCCCAAACAGUUUAGUAUGAACCCCUUUAGAUCCAGUAUUGAACAUUUUGCAUGGAAUCUUCACUGUGUAGUCAACUGUUCCUGGCCUUUCUUGGUAGUUGUCUUCCCUAAGCUCAGAGUUCAAACAAACAGUAUUAAAUUAAAAAGGAAAUUAAGAAUGCAAAAUAAAACAAAAAGAAAGAAAGAAAUGGAAUGGACCAAAA